ensembl:lncRNA
UUCUGGGUCUGCUUGAAUUGGGGUUUAGUCCCUGUGUCUUGAUACAGCCCUGAUUUUGUUCUGCCUUGCUGCUUAAUUAAAAAAAUAGUUUAAGGUGUCCUGCAUAAGUGAUAUAUAUUUUUCCCUAUAUGAAGUCAUUCUUUUUUGAAUGACCCCCCCCCCACAAAAAAAAAAAAAUCCCACAUGCAUACUACCCUUUAGGGCUAAGCCCCGGGUGUUUCAAAUGUCUGGCUCCGCCUCUGGUCUCAACCAAGUACUGUAUGGUUUUUAUAUUUUUAGUAGUGUGUCACACAAACAGCAAAUAUUGUCAAAAAGAGUAAGAAAUCUCUGGGGGUGUUUUGAUUCAUUUUGGGGGUGCUUCAGCACCCCCAAAAAUGGGCUAAAAACGCCCCUGUCCCCACCAAUAAUUUGAUCUCUUCGAGUAAAGAAAGAGAAACCCGAUAGAAAGAAAAAAAAACGAUCUGUCAGCGUCUCAUUCACCCAGUGGUGCAGAAAGAGUUAAAUUACAUUCUCUACUGGAGUUCUACCUCAUGUGACAAAUAUGGCUAAUGUGAUUCGCUGUGCCUUUCAGGGAGCUCUGUUUAGUUUUAGCACACCCGAGCCUCAACUCCCGCGGCCCGGUACCAAAUGACUCACGGACCGUGGCCUGGGGGUUGGGGACCGCUGCCUUACAGCAUAGCAGCAUAGGAUCAAUGGAUCAGUCGUGGAUUCAGCAAAAGAUAAAAGGAAGCCUCAGAUCAUUGGAAAUACAACCGUUAAACUGGGAGAUGUUCUGAAUCUGACCUGCAGUGUUGAAAGUUUCCCCCCAGCUCUUAUAGUCUGGAGAAGUACCACCACAAUCCUUCUGACUAAAACUUAUCCUGAUCUGCACAAUGACACUGGAUCAGCUACACUUGUCAUUCAGAAUGUGAUAGCAGAACAUUCUGGACAGUACAUCUGUGCAACCAAAUAUCUGCACACAACUGUGACUUCAUAUGUCAAUGUGACCGUGACAUGGUUUUCAAAAAUAGUGAAUGGCUCUGGAUGUGUGCUUCAGGCAGAGGUUUUGACCUGUGUGUGUCUCAGUGAAGGGUUUCCUUUACCGACUGUCAAUUGGCCAUUUCUGAAGAACCGCACUGAUUACUCUGCCCUUACCACUGUGUCAAACCACACAGUAAACAGCACAGUCAGUUUAACUGUGAAAAACAAUGGCAACACUACUUUUGAAUGUAUCAGCAACAAUGGAAUGGGGGAAGCAAAAGAAAGUCUCACAAUCCAAAAAAACUUGCCAGAC